rnacentral:rRNA from 1 species
GAUCAUGGCUCAGGACGAACGCUGGCGGCGCGCCUAACACAUGCAAGUCGAGCGGAGUUUGCUGACGGAAGCUUUCGGGUGGAAGAUAGUAAACUUAGCGGCGGACGGGUGAGUAACACGUGAGCAACCUGCCUCUCAGAGGGGGAUAACGUUUGGAAACGAACGCUAAUACCGCAUAACACCGAGACGUCACAUGGCGAUUCGGUCAAAGGAGCAAUCCGCUGAGAGAUGGGCUCGCGUCCG